GGGCCGUUAGCUCAGGGGUCAGAGCAGGGGACUUUUAAUCCUCGUGUCGUGGGUUCGAAUCCCACACGGCCCUCCA
rnacentral:tRNA from 1 species